UUUAUCGGAGAGUUUGAUCCUGGCUCAGGACGAACGCUGGCGGCGUGCCUAAUACAUGCAAGUCGAGCGGACAGAUGGGAGCUUGCUCCCUGAUGUUAGCGGCGGACGGGUGAGUAACACGUGGGUAACCUGCCUGUAAGACUGGGAUAACUCCGGGAAACCGGGGCUAAUACCGGAUGGUUGUUUGAACCACAUGGUUCAGACAUAAAAGGUGGCUUCGGCUACCACUUACAGAUGGACCCGCGGCGCAUUAGCUAGUUGGUGAGGUAACGGCUCACCAAGGCGACGAUGCG
rnacentral:rRNA from 1 species